GUGCAGCAGUCGCGAAAACUUUACAAUGUGCGAAAGCACGAUAAGGGAACUCUGAGUGCCUCCUAAGGAGGCUGUUCAGGUGUCUAAAAAGCACCUGAAGGAAGGGCUGGGUAAGACCGGUGCCAGCCGCCGCGGUAACACCGGCAGCCCAAGUGGUAGCCACGUUUAUUGGGUCUAAAGCGUCCGUAGCCGGCUGGGUAAGUUCCUUGGGGAAAUUUUGGCUGCUUAACAGUCAAGCUUUCAGGGGAAUACUGCCCGGCUUGGGACCGGGAGAGGUCAGAGGUACUCCAGGGGUAGGGGUGAAAUCCAUUAAUCCUUGGGGGGACCACCGGUAGCGAAGGCGUCUGACCAGACCGGGUCCGACGGUGAGGGACGAAGGCUA
rnacentral:rRNA from 1 species